AUUUAUUCCUGUGGUGCAACGCUGAAUGUUUUAGCAUCAUCACUCCAGUCUUCGGUGUCACAUGAUCAUUCAGAAAUCAUUCUAAUAUGCUGAAAAAAAAGAAAAGAAAUGAAUAUUUUUAUUCAGCAAGGAUGCAAUAAAUUUAUUAAAAGUGACAGACAUCUAUAAUGAUUAAAAAAGAAGCAGCAAAAACUGAUUUCAGAAUUGACAAAAUAAGAACCAGUGAGCAAAUCAGCAUAUUAGACUGAUUUCUGAAAGAUCAUGUGACACUGAACACUGGAUUAAUGAUGCUGAAAAUUCAGCUUUGCAUCACAGGAAAUUAAAUAUAAAUUCUUAAUGUAUUUUAAAAUAUAAAACAGUUUUUUUUAAAAUAAUAUAAUAGUAAUAAUAUUGCAUAAUAGUACUGUUUUACUGUGUAUUGUAUUGACGAGCAUAAGAGACUUCUUUCAUAAACAUUGACAAUAUUCAUUCAGUGUCACAAGAUCCUUCAGAAAUCUUCCUAAUAUGCUGAUUUGCUGCUCAAAUGUUGAAAACAGUUACUGUAUGCUGCUUAACAGUUUUGUAGAAACUGUGAUCCUUUUUUUUCAGAAUUCUUUGAAUAGAAACCGUAACCUUUUUUUCUCAAAUUUUUGUGGUGUGGUGCUCUACGAGUUGCUAGCAUUUCUUCUAAACAGGCACGUUGCUGUAAGGUUUAACACGUGUGUUUACAGCAGAGCUCUGAGGACUCCAGCUGACAGCUUCUUCCAGCUGCGUGUUGCUGACGGCGUUCUGAUGCUGCUGUGUUCUUCUCCAGGAGGAUUAGACACUUCCUGAAUUACAUGUUGUCGGUCAUGAGGAGAUUUGUUUGCAUCUGAAUACUCUCAUGUUCAGAACGAGCAAUAAGAUGGUGAGUAUUAUUUCCUUUAUUCAGAUAACGGCAUAAAACGACAAAUCAAUCGUUCUUGGAUCUGCCUCUCCACACAAAAAAAUAUCAACUAUUGUGAGUGUUUCAAUUGCGGGAACAUGAUGUAUUGUUUCUUUGUAGCAAUGAGCUUAGUAAUUGUAAUGAGUACGUAUUAAUUCCCCAAUGAACGUCAAAUAUUUAGAUUUACCCCUUAAUUAAAAUGUGUACUUGAAUGCUUAUCUCCUCUGCUAUGUUACCUCUACUGUGAACAAUUAGGAUUUUUUUUUCUUUUUUUUAAAGACACUCACUUCCAUAAGCUAAUUGUUUUCUCUUUUUUUCAGGGAGACUUUAUCAGAACUGGCCACUAAUUAACAGAAAUCACAGUAACUAUUGCAUAGGUAGCUUGUUAAUUAAUGGUCUAAGAUGCAAUUAAAUUUCAGAUGCACAUCCUAAUUUAUUAACCAACUUCUCUUAAUCCUGUGUAAUUUCAGAGGGAUCUUGUUAAAUCAAAAAGCGGAGUGAUCAGAGUGGCAAAGUGCUAAUUAAGCUCUGAAUGGGGGGCUGCAUCAACAGAGCACAGGGAUGAUCCUUCGCUGUCUGUUUACAUCGCUGCGGUGCAUUCUGGGAGGUCACCCCACAACCUGAGGCAGGCGUACUAUUCUGGUGCUCCCGGGAAAAAAAAUGUGUAAGACAGAUAAAACCAGCAGAUCUAAAUCCCUUUUGCUCUGUGUUUACGGACACAGAUGGCUUUAUCUACACUAAUGUCAUCAACAUUUAAAGCAGGAAACUUUAUUUCCAAGAACUUAAGCAUUUCCACACAAUAUGACGAUGCUGAGUAAUUUGUUGCUCUCUUUAAUGUCUCAUUUGUUUCAUUUAGACAGAAAUAUGGCAAUUGAGUCUGAAUUUUUUCUCCUCCUCUAGAGUUUCAAAAGACAUCUCAAAAACUGCACAGAUUUGACAAGAUACCAAAGUUGAAAAAAAAAAACAUUUCUCAACAAACCCUUUGUAAAGCAUCCUUUUGGAAUUUCUAGUGAGAAAAAAAAGACCUCAGAAGAGCUUCUUACAAGAUCUCAAAAAUGUCUAAUUUUCCAGUAUGUCAAAGUCUGCGAUUAGAUAUCAGCGAUCUCUGAAUGAAUCAAUAGCAACAGAUUCUUAUUACUGCUGUUAUUUUUCUCGCAAGAAAACGACUUCAGUCAACUUGCAUGUCUCCACUAGAGUUUCAGAAGAGAUCUGAGCUAUCCACAUUCAUUUUACAGCUCUGUAUUCUUCUUACUGUAUGUCAGCAGUCGUUUUAUUUGUGCGCUGGGUUUUUAAGAAAUACAUCUGAGAGAAAGUUGACACUUAAAUGAAGCAUAAUGGAGGGAAGCAUUAGCCAAAUUCAGUCGGGACUACAGACAUUUCUUACCACAGGGUAUUAAAUGACAAAGUUCAAAUCGAAACUGAAAAAUGAGGUAUUGCUGUAAAACAACUUUGCAACUCUGUCAUUGCGAGUCAUAUAUUUUACAUUUGUCUCAUGCUUGUUGACCACAAUUUCCCUCAUUUUUAAAUGUCUCCUGUGAGGAAAACGUGGCCCCCGUCAUAUACGGUUAAGAUGCCUUCCACUGGGCUUUAGGGAAUCAGACAGACAACAUGGCUGCCUCUGAUUAAGAGUGUAAGAAAUCCUGUUACACACUUACAGCUGAACGCCUGAGAAUAUCACCACUCUCAUUAUUGGGCUGGGAUUUGAAGAGGGGCUUGUAGCGUACCUCAUUGGGAAAAUGUCUACAAACAUCUUUUCAUCCUUUUUCCUCUGUAUUUUACUCCCUCAGUCUAUUUAGUUUCAUCAGUCUUGUAAAACAAUGAUGUUUCUUUUCUGCAUGCUGUCGUAUGGUCAAGGUGACUCUUUGCUAAUGCGUGUAAUAAAAGAAGCAUGUCGCGAGAAAUGCUUACA
ensembl:lncRNA